UUAAAUGUAUGAUAUUAGAUAAAUGCACUGCUAUGUUAAAAAGAUAAGAUGUUAAAAAACCUUGUGGUAUUUAUAACUGGAGGUGCGUCUGGCCUCGGAAAAGCCACAGCGGAUUAUUUGUUAUCUAAUGGAGCUAGAGUUGUUGUGUUUGAUAUAAAUGCUCCUGGCGACAACAACUUGUCACCUAAAAAUGACAACCCCAUCGGCGAAGUGUUCUCACCUCAUGUGACCAACAGUAACUGUUUGUUCUUUAAAGGCAAUGUUUUAUCAACUAAUGAUGUGGAAACCGCGAUUAAUAAAGCAAAGGAAAGAUGGGGAGGGCUGAAUGUGGCUUUGAACUGUGCAGGUGUUUCAAUAUCAUGCAGAUUAUACAACCCAAACAAUGACCACCCUUUGGACUUGCAUGAAAUACAGAAGGUUCUAAACACCAACGUUGUUGGGAACUUUAACGUGAUAAGACUCGCAGCUCAAGCGAUGGCUGAAAACAAGAACGAACACGGUGAAAACGGAGUUAUAAUAAAUACCUCUAGCAUAGCUGCUUACCAUGGAUCUGGUACACAAACCGUAUAUUCCGCUGCAAGUGGUGCAAUUGUGAGCAUGACGUUACCAAUCGCGAGAGACUUAGCUUCAUGUGGUGUUAGAGUGGCCACUAUAGCACCUGGGUUCUUUAAGACCCCGCUUACACAUUCAAACAACAUUACAGACGAGGUCAAACAGUUCAUUACGACGCCUAAUGCGUUUCCCAACCGUUUUGGCGACCCAUGUGAGUUCGCCCACCUCGUAACAACUGUGAUUGAAAACAAAAUGAUCAAUGGUGAAACUAUAAGAUUGGACGCAGGCAGCCGAUAUGAGAUUUAAUGAAUCAAAAUAAAUUUAACUUUACCUUCAAUUGAAGCUGACUUGUAUCAAAGCAAAAAUUCUCCAAUCUGCUGUAACAAAAUUCGCAUGCUUCCAUUAAGCUUCUAUAUCAGUCUUAUUUUUGGAAUAAUUUUCUUUUUCACUUCUGUAACUUGUAGGUGCAAAGAAACCAGUUUUGCUUGUCUUUUAAUCUGCACUGUAAGGAAAUUAACCUGUUUUUAUUAGAUAUCUAUGCCAGUCUUGUUUUUAAUUUGUUUUCAAACCCGAUAUUCUAUGGAAUCUUUUUCUUUACUUCCUGGUUGUGUCACUGAAUAAGUUGGGAACUUAUAGGGAAAAAUAUCAGAAAUAUCCUAUCUACAUUUCACUUAUGCUUGUUUAGAAAAUAAUGUUACUCAGCCAUAGCAAACAUAAUAUGCUUUAUUCAAUUCUUUGACCUUUUUUUCUAG